CCCCUAGAUGUUCUGGGCCGCACGCGCGCUACACUGAACAGUUCAACAAGUCUUAACCUUGGCCGAUAGGUCUGGGUAAUCUUUGAACGCUGUUCGUGAUUGGGAUAGACCUUUGCAAUUAUGGGUCUUCAACGAGGAAUUCCUAGUAAACGCAAGUCAUCAGCUUGCAUUGAUUACGUCCCUGCCCUUUGUACACACCGCCCGUCGCACCUACCGAUUGAAUGGUCCGGUGAAAUUCUCGGACGACGCCAGGGAAUGUUAAUUCGGCACCUGGUGUUGAAAGUUAAUUAAACCUUACCAUUUAGAGGAAGGUGAAGUCGUAACA
rnacentral:rRNA from 1 species